rnacentral:rRNA from 1 species
UACGUAGGUGGCAAGCGUUGUCCGGAAUUAUUGGGCGUAAAGCGCGCGCAGGCGGCUUCUUAAGUCUGAUGUGAAAUCUUGCGGCUCAACCGCAAGCGGUCACUGGAAACUGGGAGGCUUGAGUGCAGAAGAGGAGAGUGGAAUUCCACGUGUAGCGGUGAAAUGCGUAGAGAUGUGGAGGAACACCAGUGGCGAAGGCGGCUCUCUGGUCUGUAACUGACGCUGAGGCGCGAAAGCGUGGGGAGCAAACAGG